rnacentral:tRNA from 1 species
AAAAAUUAGUUUAAGUGUAAAACAUAAAAUUGUCAUUUUUAAGACGAGGUAAGUCAUUUUUCGU